AUCUAAAGGAAAAAAAGGAAAAUUGAAGGGAAAACUGUGUAUAAAAUCAGUGAGUCAAAAAGAUAAACACUAAGCUGAAGCACUGAAUAUUCAAUUCUUUUUUUUUACAAAUACAGAAGCUGGCAUUUUAAUUAACAGAGGAAUUAGAUAAUUCUGACUUCAAAGAAGGUGAAGAUGGAACAGAUAUACAAAAUCAACUACAAAAGCCUGGUGUUCACCGCCAUCCAUAGAAAAGGAAGUGUUCAGCACCUAGCAGGUAUCCACCACAAGACAGAGUGAUCCAAUGUAGCUUCAUUUUUCCUUGAAAAGUGAAAAACCUUGAAAUGUGUGAAGGCAUUUCAGUGAGCUGUUAACACCAGAAUAAUUACAAGAAACAUCAGCAUAAGAAUCAAAUUUCUUUUAUGCGUGGUACAAGUAAGAAAGACUUAAGUACUCUGAAUGAUUUUAGUUGCUGCAGUUGUAAUAAUUCAUUGAUAUAAAAAGAGACAAAACUUGUAUAUUUUCUAACUAUUCAGAAAAUAGUAACCCACCUUCCAAUUUUUGUUUAUAUUAUUGGACUUAUAAAGUAGGUAAGAGAAGGAAAAAGAGAAUGUUGUCCUUUGCUCUGAUUUAUGGGUUUAUUGAUUUUAGUUUUAUCUAAAUAUGUACUUUCUGUUGAGGCUAGAAAAUCUUCCACAUAAUCUUAAGAAGGGAUGCAGUGAUUCAAAAAGUAUAUAUAUAAUUGUACCUUAAUUACUGGGAACAUUUGUUAGUUGUUUUUUUUUAUUACUUUAUAGCAUCAUAGCAAGUACAGAAAAUGUUUUUCACUUCAAACCUGCCUUGUAUGCGUCACAUCUGUGUAUCUUUGUGAUCAUUUUUCUCUUCUACAUCUGUGUAUCUUUGUGAUCAUUUUUCUCUUCUUUAUCACAGGUGAAUAAAGGACCUGGCCAUAAACUUAACUUUACUAUU
rnacentral:lncRNA from 1 species